rnacentral:lncRNA from 1 species
AAUGCUUCUUGGCUUCGGAGUAGAUGCAGGAGACCGGUUGAUUCUCGUGGUCUUUUUCCUCUCAGAGAACCUAGUCCAGGGACAUCCAGUGUGUCAGAUCAAAUCCCAGCAACAAAGUUUUGCUGGAAACGGAAAGGGUGGCUGAAGUGCACCAAAAUAAACCGCAAUGUCUUUUGACACUUGAUCGU